CAUAAUCAUAUAAGCCAGAUAGCCCUAUCACAUGCAUGCCAGUAUGUCAGUCACCAGUCAAAAGAGGGUGUCUUGUCCUGCCCCUGCAUUCAUACCAAUCAUCAGCAACAGAGCAUUGGGGUUUCAGCUCACAGACGGAUGGCCUGAUACAGAACAGAAUUCAACGUUCCCUCUAUGAAGAAUUUUUUCUUCAAUUCGCAAGUGGCUGAAUGGAUCUCACAGGAGAAAGCAUCCGAGUGAGCGAAACUACACCCCUCUGUCUCUCUACAUGUAGGCCAUCUAUCUGAUGCUGUCUGGUCCAAACGAGUAUAACAUUGUUGCCACCCAUAGCAUUGAAGGCAAGGGAAGCCAGCAAGCAUCUGGCCUCCCUUGACAAAAAAAAGUUUUAAAAAAUUUGCCAAUCAGCGUUGAGCUAAAUUGAGCAAGCUCCACUGUGAUUCGUCCUGGCGC
rnacentral:lncRNA from 1 species